rnacentral:misc_RNA from 1 species
GAGAAGCAAGUCGUGGGGGUUCACGUGUUUGCAUGCGCGCACGCACACCUACACCGCAGCUACCCGAACAAGUAGUCAUCCGCACUCGCACACAUACACCCGUUAGUGUGAGACAGAAGGUUUCGCAGAGGGCGGAGUUAACGGAGGGGGCAGAAAGUCGCUUGGGUCAUCGUCUCCCUCCUCCCUCUAUCCCGCCCGCCCCCCCCUCCCACUCACACACUCAGGCCCAUCACGCUAAUCGUGGUACCGUCUUGCUGAAGAGAAUUCCCGUCCUCCAUCCCCUCAACCCCGUGCUCUGCAGGACUGCGGUUGUAGUCGCGAUGAAAGACGUGGGCGGCGCAAGCAGCCCGCUUUACGACAGUGAUGGGGACGGCAUCCGCAGCAGUAGUGUGGGCGAGCCCCUUCGUCAGGACGGCCUACCAUUGUUGUCCAAUGCCCGCUCGGUCACAACGGCAAGCAAGAGCGUUGGGCUUGUCCGGCGAGAUAUGGCGACAGGCUUUCGCAUCGUUGUCGCCGCUCGCAUUCGCCCCUUCACUGAGCUAGAGGUGCACCAGUGGCGGCAUGAGCGGCGUGCGGCCGCGGAGGAGCGGGAGGACCCCGCGACAGGGCGGAACGGUAGCACGCGUUCAGCCUCGAGGCAGCCGUUCGGGCGGGAGCACAAGUCGCUUAAUGCCUCAUUGUUGGUUAGCACAACGCACGCUGGGGCCACGCCCUCGCAUGAGCUUAGAGGUGUGCCUCCGGACGUGUCUCAGGCGUCGCCCAACGUCGACGGUGUGCCACAGCCCGUCGUGGAGGUGGAGAGCAACGGACGAACCAUAGUCCUGCUCGAUCCGCAGAGACCGUCGUUGGACACGAACGCGAAGGCACCGGUGCGCAACACCUUCACGUACGAUUACGUCUACAGCAGCUUCACGCCGAGGGUGGAGCUGGACUCAAGACCCACAGGCGGGCUCGUUUUGCCCUCGGCCCCAGUGCCGCGGGCAGCCGGUGGCGAACCGUACAUCAUCGACGACACGACGGAAGACGCGUUUCCUGCUCGCGCCUCGCGGCCACAGUUUUCGUCACACACACUGGAGCAAGAGCGCCGGGCAGAGGCAGAGCAGGUUGCCAUCUACGAGCAGCUCGCCAUCCCCUUGGUAGACGCGGCGCUGCAGGGGUACAACACCUGCAUGUUCGCCUACGGCCAGACAGGAAGCGGUAAAACGUACACCAUGAUGGGAACCGCGCAGCAUCCAGGGCUGAUCCCGCGGCUCUGCCAGCUGCUCCUCUCGCAAGUCGCCAUGCGCAACGCCGAGGUCUACGAUGGCUGCGCGGCGUCGCCGUCCACGCGGGCUGCGGCCGUGGUACUGCAGCUUUCCUACAUGGAGAUCUACAACGAGCAGGUGCGCGAUCUGCUCAAGCAGCGGCCCAAGAACGCCAUCCUGCGCUACCGCAGCCGCUUCGACAAAAAGGAUAUGGAGAGCGGCGAGUUCCGCACGCUUAAGGUGCGCCAUCACCCAUCACAGGGCAUCUACGUGGAAGGACUGACGACUGUACCGGUGAGCACGUGGGCCGAGUGCGAGGCGUUUCUUCAGCACGGUAACGCGCUGCGCACGCAAUACAGCACGGCGAUCAACGCGAAGUCGAGCCGCUCGCAUGCAAUUUUUCAGUUCCAAGUGACGCAGCGCGAGGGCACGGGAAGCCGCGUGCGGGGGCGCGAAGUGGCACUGGAAACGUGUAGCAAGAUCAAUCUCGUCGAUCUGGCCGGCAGCGAGCGCAACACGCAGUCCAGGGCAACCGGCAAACACCUCGCAGAGGCAAACAGCAUUAACGCUUCUCUCUCCACCCUGCGACGGGUGCUGGACGGACUGGUAAACAAUUGCGGCAGCUGUAACCCGCAGGCGCUCGCUGGCGGCGGCAAAGUCAGAAAAGGUGCUGUCAUCCCGUACCGGGAGAGCCUGCUGACGUACGUCCUCUCCGACAACCUCGGCGGCAACAGCUUCACCGUGAUGUGCGCCAACGUCUCGCCCAGCGCGUCGAACAUCAGCGAAACGGAGUCGACGCUGCGGUACGCCACGCUCGCACGAGGGGUCGUCAACCACGCGCGGCUGAACGAGGCGCCGACAGCCCUCAUUAUUCGCGAGAUGCGCGAUCAGAUCAAGGCGAUGCAGGAGGAGCUUCGGAAGGCCCCGAACCCGGCCCACGUCGCGGAGCUGACGGAGGGUAUCCUGCUAAGCGAGCAACUUCUGCGCGAGAUGCGAGGAAGGGAAAAGAGGUAUGAGUUGCGGCUGCAGAGCAGCGAAGCGCAGCAGGAGGAGCUGCGGAAGGCAGUGGCGAGCCACCAGGCUGGGGAGGCGUACUGGCGUGCAGAGGCGCAGCGGCAGCAGGAAGAAUUGGAGUCGCUCCGCUCCGCCCUUGUGGCUAUAACGACCAGCAGCUCCACGGCAGACGCGAUCGGCGACAAGAAAGCGAGGUCGACAGGGCGUGCGUCAAAGCCGUGCCAUGCCUCACCACCGGAUCUCUCGCUCCACCUUCCUCAGCUGAACCAAGGCACCGACACCAACGGUGCGAGAGCCGCGUCUACGCUGCCUUUUUCUGCCGAUGAUCGUUACCUUGACGGCGAAGCUGUCGGCCCCACGCGGAGCCCCUCGACGGCCAAGAAGAAGCAGUCGGCAAAGAGGCACAUGGGGCUGACCCGUGGCGACGGCAGGAUCAGAAGGCACUCCGCCGCGGCUUAUGCGGCGGCAACAGAUUUCUACUCGCCUGGGGCGCGCAAGCGUAAGCCGUCCGUGGGGCGUGGCACGCCGCUCUCUCUCAUCGACCUCCGCGAGAACAAGUGUCUCGCCGGUGCCGUGCUACCGCAUCUCCGCGGGGGCAACUUCGCCAGUGCGCCGUGUAAGGCGCACCGCGAGAAUAGUCGACUGCCACCAGAGGGGGCGUCGCAGCCGCUGUCGCGUCGUUCCCUGUCGAGUGAGCGGCCGCAGCGGUCUCCACAUCCACCAUCCCAGCACCCGCAGCGCAGCCGCUAUUCAAACAGAGCCUCCAUCCGGAGGCCGUCGUCGAAACAAAACAAAGGUGACCGGUCGAGGCUCACGACAAGCACCACGGAGGAGGAAGCAGCGGAGACACCCUUUACCGUCGGCGGACGCUCGGGGCUUACUGCGCUGCAUAACGGCGGCAGCGGCGCUGUUGCGAGGGAUAGUGACUUGGAUGAGGCGCCGUCCUUCUACCAGACCGUCACCUACCUGACUGCGGAAGGAGCCGACCUAGAGGGCAGCAGCAGCGUUGCAACGCCAUCAUGUGCCUUGUCCCUCAAAGAGGGUGGCGAGGACGACCAGGUUGUGCUCACCGCCGAUAGAAGCGCGGGUAGGCAGCGUCCUGGCCAGCAACGCAAACCUCGCGGCUUGGACGUGCUGCAGCUGCAACAGAAACGCGCAGACACCCCGCAGAGCAGCCGCUGCAGCCCUCGCGAAGAGCCAGAAAUCGAGGGCGAGGCAGCCACUCCCACGUCCUCACGGCGGCCCACGAACUCGCCGGGGAUGUCCGAAGCGUGUCAAGCUCAGGCGGCGCGUGGCCGUCACCGCAGCCCCGUCAAUGUCGCGUCAGCGCCAAACAAGAAGAGAGCAAAGGCGAGUCAAGCCAUAGGCCACAAAUACAGCAGUAGCAACAGGGUGGCGGAUGAAGAUUGCCGGUUAUCACCAUCGCCGCCGUUACCACCACAACAACAGCAGGCGAGCAACGGCGGUGGCGGCAGUGUCAGGGGAGCAGCAACGGCUGAUGACCGCAAAACUAUGCACCGGCAACCAGCCGCUGUGCUCCCCGCCGAGGAAGAGAGCGGUGAGGAGUGCCAGUACGUGCAGAUCGCUGAUGAUGAUGAUCUGAAGCACGCGUUCGAAGGCGAGAGCGACGGUGAUGUGGCGCCCACGGCAUCGCAUCCCCGAACCUUUAGCGGCGAUGACGAUGCCGGCAUAGAGAGCGGCUGUAUGAGUAUUUUCGAGGGUCUCAUCGACAUGAUGCCUGCCGACAGCUCACGUGGGUGUUUAGGGCACCAUCUCCCCUACGCGACCGUCGCUGCUGCCGCGGAGAGCGCGGUGGCAUCCGCAGCGGCGGCGGUGGCGCCCUCGCCGGAGCAUGCGCUCUACUUAUCGGUUGGCCGGAAGCUAAAGCAGAACGGGAGGGCACAAAUGCACGCGAGCGGGUCACCCCCGUCGUGUGAUCAUCACUACUCCACAGUGGGCGCACUGAGCCCUCAGUCGUACUGGUGAGGUCGUACGCGCGCCCACCCGACGCUAUCCCCUCUCCUCGCUCGCCGCCCCUAGGAAGAGCCAAGGUUUUUGACACCGACACGGUAUCGCGAUACCGAUGGCUACCUUAGCCUUAGCACCCUUGGUGGCUUCUGUUUUUUCUCUCCCCACUUAUGUUUCCUCGUCUUCCAUGUGCAUACACAUGAGCACGGAUCUCUUGUUGUUUGGUGGUCGUGUUGUUCCUGUGCGCUAAGUCGUCUGUGUCAAGCCUAUUUCCGCAGUGAUGUUCGUCUGUGAUUGGUGUGCGUGUGCGUGUGUGUGUGUGUGUGUGUGUCUGUUCUUCAAAAGUGGAGGGGGCAUGAGGUGUGUGCUGCGGCAGCGUCUCUCGGUUCUCUCUUGUUCCGUGACUGCUCACAAUUUCUUUCGUUUUAUUUUACUUUGUGGGGGAGGAGGGUUUUGCUUUUCUCUUGAGCGCCCCCUCCUCCUCCUCCUCCUCCUCCCCCUCCCCCCCCAUCUGUGUGGUCUGCCCCCCCCUCUCCCACUGCUGGGCAGCGUACCAUGAUGUAGUUAGUGCUGCCUUCGACCAAGAGCGACUCGGCCUCCUUUCUUUCCCUUUCUCUUUCCCUCCAUAUGUCUUCCGAAGUGGCGCGGAACGCCUCAAACACCGCAGUUGCCCCGACCGCCAACCACCACCCCCAUUCACCCACCGGCCCUCUUAACCUAUCUUCUUGAACCUCUACUCUUUUCUCUCCUGUAAGCUUUCACCGGUAGGUUGCUGCGUGGUACAUGUGCUGUUUGGCGUUGGCGCUUGUGCCUUGGCACAGGGGGUGAGCGGCGUGGGGCGGCGCCCCAUCAGCGUUGCAACAAAGAGCAGUGCUGAAAACACGCACUCUCCUUGCACGGCCCCCACUCACCCACCCACCCACACCCUCUUUUCCUCCAUCUCUCAUGUUUCUGCUUCCUUUUUGUUUUUUUUUGUUUUUUUUUGGGGUGUCGUGCCACCACUCCUUGCUUCUGCCCUCUCUUUCUCGUUUAUGUGUAUAUGAAUAUAUAUAAACAUAUAUUUGUUUAUAUAUUUAUAUAUGUAUGGAUGUAUGUUAGUGAUGUGCUGCCCUUUAUAGAUGUCUCCGUGCUGUGUUCCCGUGUUCACCUCUCCUCUUUUUUUUUCACUCGUCUUCUUCUGUUUUGCACCUUUGUGUGGAGGCGUUUUGAUGUGUGCGGUGUGUGUGCAGGUGUUCUCUCAUGGCGAGAAAUCGCUGUUCUGUGGGACCUCUUCUUCGGCGUUCGCUAGCUUGUCGACGCUUGUGCACGCAUGUCUCGACGAGUGUGGGGAUGUGGUUGUGUACGCCCCUCACCGAGCGCUGCGUCUUGCGCGUCGCUCGGUCUUUGCGUGUGGACGAUGGAGUGGCACUGUGUACGUUCCUCCAAUUCAUAGAAGUGACGGACAUGUCCACAUUAAAGAUCAGUUUUUGUUGUCGCGCUCCACUCUACGUGUGGCGGCGACACAGCAGCCAAGCAGCAAACGUGAUGGCCAACGCAUCAUCAUCGCAUCACCACUUCCCCCACCACACCUGUUCUCCUCUUUGUGCCCGUAGCAUCGGCUCAUGUCUUCAGCGCAAG